UUGUCUAAAGCAAAUAGGUACAAUUGCUUUUUAAGUAGUCUUAACUGGCCUGAGAGGGAAAAGGCCUUCCCUAAAUUAGAGCAGUCCCUUUGUCAAGGUUGCUGAUAAAAAUCAAGAACCAUGAGGCAGCCAUGUCUAUGAAGAUUCCCCUGGUGACAUGCCAAACCUAUUGAGAACAGCAGCAACUUCUCCAUUUUUGGAGCCCCACUGAAGGAUCAGCACCAGACAUACAGAAAGGAAUGCCUCACAGGUCGAACUGACUCUCCGAAAAGACAGAGACUACUUCCGCUACUGUCCAGUGUGAAGAUGCCCUCAAGUGACUUUUAAAGACUGCUCCAGGAGCAGGGUGUGGUGAUACACACUCAUAAUCUCAGCUGCAGGGGUUGGAAAGAAGGGGGCGGAGAGUUCAAGGAUAAUCAAGUCUUCAGAGAGAGAGAGCAACUGUAUUGAAAACAAACUCAAGAGCAAUUGGAACUCCAAAUAUCUUCACUCCCAGAGAGAUCCUGCCUUCCUGAAAUGUACCUCAUGCCCUGCCCGUGGUCCCAGGACUGGUGUCAUCUGCCGAGGCUGGAAGAGGGAAUCAGAUCUCCAGGAACUGGAAGUACAAGGAUCCCCAAUGCCUCAUAGUGUUGGUGGAGUCCCUUAUGUUCUCUCAUCAGCCUACUUGGGAUGAUUGUCAGCAGAUGUUGCAGACUUUCUUCACAACCAAAAAGCAAGAGAGAAUUCUGUUAGAGGCUAGAAAAAAUAUCCCGGGAGCCAAUGGGCAGCCUACACAGCUACAAAAUGAGAUCAACAUGGGAUCCCCUUUGACUCCGUCCGGUUGGGACUACAACAUGGCUCAAGCAUUAUCCAACAGCCCCCUGACCGAUGGAUGACCAACGCUCGUAUGACACAUUAUCAGAGCCUGUGGUUGACUGAACGAGUGACCUUCGCUCCCCCUGCUGUCCUCAAUUCUGCUACCCUACUGCCCGAGACUGAUGACUCUUCACCUACUCAUCACUGCGCUGACAUUCUGGCAGAUCUGAAGGAUCAGCCUUGGCCUGGGAGUUCCAGCUGC